rnacentral:rRNA from 1 species
AACCUCCGCAAUGUGAGAAAUCGCGACGGGGGGAUCCCAAGUGCCAUUCCUAACGGGAUGGCUUUUCAUUAGUGUAAAGAGCUUUUGGAAUAAGGGCUGGGCAAGACCGGUGCUAGCCGCCGCGGUAACACCGGCAGCUCUAGUGGUAGCAGUUUUUAUUGGGCCUAAAGCGUCCGUAGCCGGUUUAAUAAGUCUCUGGUGAAAUCCUGUAGCUUAACUGUGGGAAUUGCUGGAGAUACUAUUAGACUUGAGACCGGGAGAGGUUAGAGGUACUCCCAGGGUAGAGGCGAAAUUCUGUAAUCCUGGGAGGACCGCCUGUUGCGAAGGCGUCUAACUGGAACGGUUCUGACGGUGAGGGACGAAAGUUAGGGCGCGAACCGGAUUAGAUACCCGGGUAGUCCUAACUGUAAACGAUGCGGACUUGGUGUUGGGGUGGCUUUGAGCUGCUUCAGUGCCGAAGGGAAGCUGUUAAGUCCGCCGCCUGGGAAGUACGGUCGCAAGACUGAAACUUAAAGGAAGU